AUUGAACGCUGGCGGCAGGCCUAACACAUGCAAGUCGAACGAGUGGCGGACGGGUGAGUUAUGUCUGGGACACUCCCUGAUGGAGGGGGAUAACUACUGGAAACGGUAGCUAAUACCGCAUACCAUCAGAUGUGCCCCGAUGGGAUUAGCUAGUUGGUGGGGUAACGGCGCACCACGGCGACGAUCCCUAGCUGGGCUGCGAGGAUGACCAGCCACACUGGAACUGAGACAUGGUCCAGAGUCCUACGGGAGGCAGCAGUGGGGAAGAUUGCACAAUGGGCGCAAGCCUGAUGCAGCCAUGCCGCGUGGAUGAAGAAGGCCUGCGGGUUGUAAAGUACUUUCAGCGGGGAGGCGUUACCCGCAGAAGAAGCACCGGCUAACUCCGUGCCAGCAGCCGCGGUAAUAC
rnacentral:rRNA from 1 species